rnacentral:piRNA from 1 species
UGUGAGUGCAGAUGCCCAUGGAUAAAUGUA